GCGCGAUCUAUAGCAGCUGUACCUCAUGUGUACCGCGUGUUUCCGGCGCAUGAGUACGAACGCCUUCUCACGAUAUCCAUGCGCUGCAAAAAUAUUUCGUGUGAUUCCGAAUACCAGUCUAUAAAUUCCCUUAUGCAGCAGUGCCGUAAUGGAUGAGCACUAUCAUUCUGUCAAAGAAGUGCAAUAACUAGAACCCAUGACCGUGAGGGAUCGCAUGUUUGGGAAGAAUUCGUUUCUUGCAACCGCUGCAAAUCAGUUUGUUUUGAAACGUCGGGGAGCGAGGACGAGUCUGCUCGGUCUUCGAAGAAAUUCGUUCGACGCGUUCAAGAUUGAAGUCAUUUAAGUGGUCCUGAUCACCGGCAGGCUGGACACAACGACUGAGGGACGGAGACAACGAACUUUGUGCUUCAUGCACGAACGUUGAUGCGUGAAUUAGAGGAGCCGAGAGUGCAUUUUACACCUGGAUUACACAAGCAAGUUACGUCAAGCGAUGUCGUAAAUGGGUGAGUCAAUCGUCUACUGUGGUUGGUGUUACGUUCUGCGGAAGAAACGGAAG